rnacentral:rRNA from 1 species
AAUCCAUAGGUUAAUGAGGCGAACCGGGGGAACUGAAACAUCUAAGUACCCCGAGGAAAAGAAAUCAACCGAGAUUCCCCCAGUAGCGGCGAGCGAACGGGGAGGAGCCCAGAGCCUGAAUCAGCAUGUGUGUUAGUGGAAGCGUCUGGAAAGGCGCGCGAUACAGGGUGACAGCCCCGUACACAAAAGCGCAUGUGCUGUGAGCUCGAUGAGUAGGGCGGGACACGUGGUAUCCUGUCUGAAUAUGGGGGGACCAUCCUCCAAGGCUAAAUACUCCUGACUGACCGAUAGUGAACCAGUACCGUGAGGGAAAGGCGAAAAGAACCCCGGCGAGGGGAGUGAAAAAGAACCUGAAACCGUGUACGUACAAGCAGUGGGAGCACAGGUUUACCUGUGUGACUGCGUACCUUUUGUAUAAUGGGUCAGCGACUUAUAUUCUGUAGCAAGGUUAACCGAAUAGGGGAGCCGUAGGGAAACCGAGUCUUAACCGGGCGUUAAGUUGCAGGGUAUAGACCCGAAACCCGGUGAUCUAGCCAUGGGCAGGUUGAAGGUUGGGUAACACUAACUGGAGGACCGAACCGACUAAUGUUGAAAAAUUAGCGGAUGACCUGUGGCUGGGGGUGAAAGGCCAAUCAAACCGGGAGAUAGCUGGUUCUCCCCGAAAGCUAUUUAGGUAGCGCCUCGUGAAUUCAUCUCCGGGGGUAGAGCACUGUUUCGGCUAGGGGGCCAUCCCGGCUUACCAACCCGAUGCAAACUGCGAAUACCGGAGAAUGUUAUCACGGGAGACACACGGCGGGUGCUAACGUCCGUCGUGAAGAGGGAAACAACCCAGACCGCCAGCUAAGGUCCCAAAGUCAUGGUUAAGUGGGAAACGAUGUGGGAAGGCCCAGACAGCCAGGAUGUUGGCUUAGAAGCAGCCAUCAUUUAAAGAAAGCGUAAUAGCUCACUGGUCGAGUCGGCCUGCGCGGAAGAUGUAACGGGGCUAAACCAUGCACCGAAGCUGCGGCAGCGAACGUAUCACUUAAAGCGAUUCAGCGGGUUACGAUUGACGGAGCGAAGCGACGUCAAAGCGUAUACAAAGUCGAGUCGGUUUAAGGAUACGUUCGUUGGGUAGGGGAGCGUUCUGUAAGCCUGUGAAGGUGGCCUGUGAGGGUUGCUGGAGGUAUCAGAAGUGCGAAUGCUGACAUAAGUAACGAUAAAGCGGGUGAAAAGCCCGCUCGCCGGAAGACCAAGGGUUCCUGUCCAACGUUAAUCGGGGCAGGGUGAGUCGACCCCUAAGGCGAGGCCGAAAGGCGUAGUCGAUGGGAAACAGGUUAAUAUUCC